rnacentral:rRNA from 1 species
GACGAACGCUGGCGGCGUGCUUAACACAUGCAAGUCGAACGGAAAGGCCCUGCUUUUGUGGGGUGCUCGAGUGGCGCACGGGUGAGUAACACGUGUGUAACCUGCCCUUGACUUUGGGAUAACUUCAGGAAACUGGGGCUAAUACCGGAUAGGAGCUCCUGCUGCAUGGUGGGGGUUGGAAAGUUUCGGCGGUUGGGGAUGGACUCGCGGCUUAUCAGCUUGUUGGGGGGGUAGUGGCUUACCAAGGCUUUGACGGGUAGCCGGCCUGAGAGGGUGACCGGCCACAUUGGGACUGAGAUACGGCCCAGACUCCUACGGGAGGCAGCAGUGGGGAAUAUUGCACAAUGGGGGGAAGCCUGAUGCAGCAACGCCGCGUGCGGGAUGACGGCCUUCGGGUUGUAAACCGCUUUCGCCUGUGACGAAGCGUGAGUGACGGUAAUGGGUAAAGAAGCACCGGCUAACUACGUG